AGCAGUGUUUACACUAAUUCAAGGACUUUUCUAUUUCUUGCACUGCCUUGUCAGCUAGAGUGCUGGUAGUGGGAACAAGAAGCUGGGAGGGGACAGAACCAGGACAGCUGUUCUAAACUGGCCAAAGGGAUAUUCCAUACCAGAUGGUGUCAUGCAGAAUGACAAAGAUGGAAGGAGUUGGCUGGAGGUUGGCCAAAGCUCAGAGUCUGGGUUGGGCAUCAGUCAGUGGGUGGUGAACAAUUGCACUAUGCAUCUCUUGCUUUGUUUAUAGUUUUAUCGUCAUUAUUAUUUCCUCUUCUUUUUCUAUACUAUUAAACUUUAUCUCAGAUUACAAGUUAUUCUGAUCCCUGCCACUUCUGGAGGCAAGGUUACCCAGUGGAGCCGAUACAGUUCUGCUACUUCUCUCAUAGCUGCAAGAUCAUCUACCCUGCUUUGAACUCAGGAAAUCUUGGUUUUGAAGCAUGCCACUCAGCAGUCAUGGGAGAGAGAAAGCUGGGGAAGAGGAAGAGAGGAGGCAUAGUAUGGGCAUGAAGAUCACAACAUCUGACUGAGCUAAAGUGCAGCUGUUAAGAUAUACACUACAGCCUUGGUAGAGCACACAGCUGAGAGACCACAUGAGCUGGCCAAACUUUGUGAGAUGACUGCUUCUACCAGACCAGAAAGGCUGCCCACCUCCUCCUUCAGAUGGGAGAGUCCUCACAGUUGCUUUUCCCGCCAUCCUUGGCUGAACAUUGGAAACUGCCCCACGUUUCCCUUGGAGUUGUUAUUUUAUAUAUUGGAAGUAGUUGCUAUGCUGGAGGGCAAGGCUGCCAUCAUCCCAGGAGACAUGAACAAGAAACUGGGUGACAGAAGCAUCAUGAAGUUCAAGAAUUCAAAUGUGAAGUCCUGCACCUUGUAAAUAGUGACACCAUGCAGCAGUACAAACUGAGGACUGGCUGGCUAGAAACUAGCUUCUAGUAAGGGGACCUAGAGGUCCUGAUGGACAUCAAGCUGAAUGUGAGUCAAGAAUGUGCCAUUGCAUGAAUGAGAGCCAAGCACAAAAGACACUGGGCUGCAUUAGGUACAGCAGAGGCAGAAGGUUGAGAUAGCCAACAGAGGUGAAUAUUGCACCCCUCUGAGGAGAAGAAAAUCCCACAGGCAAGCAGAGAGCAAGAUUGACACUUCUCAUUAUUUCUGUACUCCAG